ACCAACACCCAAAAUUUACUUGCCCUAACCUUCCCUUUCGCAUCGUCGUUCCUUUCAUCUUCCCUUCGUUCCUUUUCUCUUCGCAAUCACAGCAAAUAAGGAGGAGCUCUUCUUCCCUAUGGAGGAGUGCUUCUUCCCUCUCCACAGCAAGAAAUGAGGCUCAUCGUUCCUCUCCACAGCAAGCAAAGAGGAGCUCUUCUUCCCUCUCCGCAACAAGAAAGGAGGAGCUCUUCUUCCCUCUCCGCAGCAAGCAAGGAGAGGCUCUUCUUUCCCUCUCCGCAACAAGUAAGGAGGCUCAUCUUCCCUCUUCGUAGCAAGCAAGGAGGAGUUCUUCUUCCCUCUCUACAAUAAGUAAUGAGGUGCUCAAAGGCCAAGAAUUUGGUUGAUCCAUUAGCAUAUAAGGAAUAUAGAGAACAACAGAAGAAAGAAAAGAUGGAAGCUAAAGCAUGCUUCCCGCAUCACAAUACAAAAACGGUUACCUAAAGUAAACAAGCUUCUAGCAACUCAUCUUCACUAAGGAGGAGGAGGAGGAGGAGGAGGAGGAGAAAUGGCUGACACAGAUGAUAUUAGGGCAAAAAAUGUCAAAGAAUAAUAAGGGACUAAACACUGAGAUCCUGAGAAAUAUACAUUUUGUAACAACGCUUGAGGAAAAGAACAAAAAAAAAAGAGUGUUCACCUGAAGUUGUUGCAGAAGGUCAAAUUACAUCCAUAGAUCAAAAAGUAAAAGUGCAUCACGUUCUUCUUGGUGGAUCUCGUUGGAAAGUUUGGGUUGAUAGAGUUUUUAUGGAGAAAGUGGACCUAAUUCUUCUAAAUGAUGAAAUGCUUUUUCUCGAGGAUGCAAUAGGAAGCACAGCCGCUUAGUUAUUUAAGUUUAUAAUUUUGUAUGACUGAUAUAUAUUUUCCUUAUUUUAAAGUCAUAUACUCUAUUGUAGGAAAGAAACUAUGUUACUAAGUGAAUUUUUUUUACUA